CUCCUACCUCGUCACCUCUUUUCUUUCUCGCUGCAAACCUGGACAAGAGGAGCACAGUCUGGGGACACCCCAUGACGAUUCUGGAAUGGAAAUGACUGGACAGUGAUUUACACGGAACAGCAACAGGCACAGCCCCAGCAGCCCACCAGCCAGCCAGACAUGGCCCCACUCAGCCACCGAGCCAGCAGAAGCUCCCAGACCCAAUGGUGUAUUAGGACAUGGGCUAUGAGGAGGCUAGAGUCUCUGCGACCCUUGAGGUUGGACCACCAGUCAACGUGGGAAAGCAGAUGUCUGGUCCUGGAAAUGAAGGGGAAGGCCAGAGAGGGGUACAGCAGGCCUUCUGGUCUCAGGAGACAGUAGGAAUCCAAUGUUGUCAACAAGUAACCGGUGCUGAAAUUUUGUGUGUAUAGUGACUCCCAGGACUUUCUUUCCAUCGCAAAGUUGGUUGACAUCAAGCAAAAUCAGAAGACCCAAACUGGAACUCAAUUCAAUACAGCAAAUACUAAGUUACUGAAUAUCUGUUUACAAGGUACUGUUCAAGUCUUCUGAAUAUACCAAAAUGAAUUAUGUGUAAUCCCUACAUUCAAAGGAUGUACAUUACCUUAUAGAGGCGAUAAGACAGACAUACAGAAUUUAAGUGCUAUUUUUUUUUUUAAAGGAUCAAAUAAAGACCAGAUAAUAUCAGGACAGUUAGAUCAGGGGAGGCUUCACUGAGGAGGGAGCUGUUGGGCUUGGCCUUGAGGGAUAACAGCAUCCUUAAUAACAAGAGCUACCGACCACUUAUGGCAGGAAUCGGCACAGUUUUCGGUAAAGGGUCAGAUAGUAAAUAUUUCAGUCUUUGCGGGCUACUCAAUUAUGCCUUUGAGUGUGAAAGCAGCCACAGACAAUACG